rnacentral:rRNA from 1 species
UACGUAGGGUGCGAGCGUUUAAUCGGAAUUACUGGGCGUAAAGCGUGCGCAGGCGGCUUCGCAAGUCAGACGUGAAAUCCCCGGGCUUAACCUGGGAAUGGCGUUUGAAACUACGGAGCUGGAGUGUGGCAGAGGGAGGUAGAAUUCCACGUGUAGCGGUGAAAUGCGUAGAUAUGUGGAGGAAUACCGAUGGCGAAGGCAGCCUCCUGGGCCAACACUGACGCUCAUGCACGAAAGCGUGGGGAGCAAACAGG